rnacentral:rRNA from 1 species
GGAUUAGGCAUGCAAGUCGAACGAGGAAGUGCCCCGUAAGGGGCGCAAGCCUAGUGGCGAAAGGGUGAGUAAUGCAUUGAUAACCUGCCUUUGAGAUGGGAAUAACUGCGUUUCGAGCAAUCGGAACUACCGAAAGGGCUGCUAAUACCCAAUAAUACUAUAGGUGCAAAAGCACUUGUGGUCAAAUGCUAGGAAUUCUGUUCCUUGUGCUUAAAGAGGGGUUAAUGUCCUAUCAGCUAGUUGGUGGGGUAAUGGCCUACCAAGGCAAAGACGGGUAGCCGGCUUGAGAGGGUGGUCGGCCACACUGGGCCUGAGACACUGCCCAGACUCCUACGGGAGGCUGCAGUCGAGAAUCUUUCGCAAUGCCCGAAAGGGUGACGAAGCGACGCCGCGUGUGGGAAGAAGGCCUUCGGGUUGUAAACCACUGUCGGGAGUUAGGAAAUGCAGGUGCGUUAAUAGCGCACUUGCUUGACUAAGGCUCCAGAGGAAGCCACGGCUAACUCUGUGCCAGCAGCCGCGGUAAUACAGAGGCGGCAAGCGUUGUUCGGAAUUAUUGGGCGUAAAGAGCACGUAGGCGGCCUUGCAAGUCAGUUGUGAAAGCCUUCCGCUUAACGGAAGAACGGCAUCUGAUACUACAGGGCUUGAGUACGGGAGGGGAGAGUGGAACUUCUGGUGGAGCGGUGAAAUGCGUAAAUAUCAAAAGGGACCCCGGCGGCAAAGCGACUUUCUGGUCCAA